UUUUAACAGUGAACUCACACUUUCUCCGAAGACACCAGCUCCUGGGCGAUGAGGUUGUUAUCAUAUUACAGAGUGAGCCUCUUUACCAAGGUCGCCUCUGUGUACUGUGAUGGUUCAUGGCCUUCCCUGUCCCACUGCUGCCGUACAUUCCUGGCACCUCAGAGAGGAUUAUGGUAGUUUAUCUCCAACGCUGCCCUCAGGAUCAAAUAAUUUACCAAUCUCCUC